rnacentral:lncRNA from 1 species
CUCCAUCUUUGCACGUUUGUUGGCCCGGCAAGGCGGAAAUGGUGGCGUAGUAGGUUUUUUGUGUUUUUUUUUUUUCCCCCCCUCCAUCCCCUCCCGCCCACAGGGUUGGGGUUUCUGGCUGUGAGUGAGGUUUCUGGAAAUCUCUGUGGAAAGUUAAUGGUAUCUCUCCUCUACAGGGCUAAGAGGAGUCCCAGGCUUGAUAACACGCUGAACAAAGACCUGUCAUGGAACAGACUCUUGCUGAGAUUUAAACUGGAGAGUUUGUGGAUGUGGAGCUGGGCCAGGAUACACAGAGAAAUGUGGGGGAAGAGGGAAGUCACUGAGAAGAAUCAAGAGAUCUUGGUGCUGCUCUCAUUUGCUGUGUGAUGCUGAUCAAGCAACAUAUUGUCUUUAGGAAUCCUGUUAUAAAAUUUGUCCAACAGAACCUACCUCGCAGAAUUACAGAGAAGAAAAAGAAGAGAGUUCUAUAAACCUGAAGAGCGAUCUUUUCAAAAAAUCAUCAGAAGGAAGGAAUUUGUAGAAAUAAAACUGGAAACAUCCAGAAUCUUGAUGGUGUGCCAAACCAAAUGUCAACUGGAGCUCGACCAAAAACUAAAGUAAGUAGCUUUCUUACAGAAUAUUCCGGGUGGAGUGCCAUGCCCCACUCAUGCCAUGAAGAGAGUGCCACAUUUGCACAUUCUCUUUUACUUUUUGUGUUUUAAAUUAAACGUUAACGUUGUCCUGUUUUUCAUUAUAUCAUGAUUUGUAAUGAAAAACAUACAGUUAAUAUUUAUAAAAUUGGGAAAAAAGGAGGGUGUGACUUUGUUAAGAUAAAAUGAUUAGUCUUUUGUGAUGAGUAGAGUCAUUAGCAGUGGAUUGUAUGCACUUCAAUUAGUUUCUUCACUAUGGGUGAAAAUUCCUGCCAAAGCUGAAGAUCUCCUUGAACUAUUAUUACAAAAGUCUUCCUAUUAUGACAGUAUACACCUCAGUGAUCAGGGUUCCAGAAAAGAGGUGUCAGAUUGGGGACUAUACCUGCAAAACAUUAGCUCUAAACAUUAUAUGUACUUUGUUUAAAAGGUCUACCAAGAUAAAUAAUACCCAGGAAUUUGUGUGUGUGUGUUUGGUAUGUUUUUAAUGAGGAAACAUUGACCAGCCAUUCUUAUAGAUACUUUACAACUUUUAAUCAUCUUUAAAAUUUUUUUCCAAAUCUGAGUUUUUCUUUUUCACAUUUUUUAGUUGAAUCCAAAAGUACAUCUUCAUAAAUUCUGAAGCGUUAGAUACAGAGGGAUUUUAGUAAUAACUUGCAAGAUUUUAUAGAAUUGCUUACAGUUUUUGAUUCUAUGAUUCCAUGACUGCCUUACAGUGUGAAAGAGUAAUAAUAAUUUAGUAAGUAAAUAUGAAGAGCAAAUAUUAUGUGUCUUCCUGGCAGGAAGCAGCAGAAACUUUCUAAAUUACUUCAAAAGAGAUACCUUAAAAGAUUACUUACAAAAGUUUGGGCAAGGUUAAGGGAAAUCAACAACUGUAAGGUGGUUGCCCCGCAAGAUCUUUGGCCUUGGAAGAGGAAUGCAGCUACAGCAAGACCCCAUCUGACAGAGGAGAGGUGGAGGGAGAGAGCCUGCCGUCUCUCUCCCUCCCAGCUUCUACCCUUUUGGAAAAUUAGCUGAACUCAUCAGGACACCAGGAGGGCAGGAGGGAAGGGCACUCACUUACUGUGUUCUUCGGCAACUGAGCCCCACAAAGGAAGAUGGAAAAGAGCAGGGAGUAGUUUUAGAGGGUCAAAUAGAAAAUAUUUGGCACACCUUAAAAAGAGAGUUGUCAGCUACCAUUCUUAAAUAUGUAAUAUGUUCCAGGCACAGUGCUAAGCUC